rnacentral:tRNA from 1 species
CAGUAAAUAAUUUAAAAAAAAUACUAAUUUUGGAAAUUAGAAAUAAGUUACUUUUUUACUGA